rnacentral:tRNA from 1 species
GCGAAAGUGGCGGAACUGGUAGACGCGCUGGAUUUAGGAUCCAGUGGGGACUCCCCAUGGGGGUUCGAAUCCCCCCUUUCGCACCA